rnacentral:rRNA from 1 species
UACGGAGGGGGCUAGCGUUGUUCGGAAUCACUGGGCGUAAAGGGUGCGUAGGUGGUUCGCUAAGUCGGAUGUGAAAACUCGGGGCUCAACCCCGAGACGCCAUCCGAUACUGGCGUGACUUGAGUCUGGUAGGGGAGAUCGGAAUUCCUGGUGUAGCGGUAAAAUGCGCAGAUAUCAGGAGGAACACCGGUGGCGAAGGCGGAUCUCUGGGCCAGUACUGACACUGAGGAGCGAAAGCGUGGGUAGCAAACAGG